GACGUAGGUGGCGAACGUUAUCCGGAAUUAUUGGGCGUAAAGAGCUCGUAGGCGGUGUGUCGCGUCGGCCGUGAAAACCUGCAGCUUAACUGUGGGCUUGCGGUCGAUACGGGCAUCACUGGAGUUCGGCAGGGGAGACUGGAAUUCCUGGUGUAGCGGUGAAAUGCGCAGAUAUCAGGAGGAACACCGGUGGCGAAGGCGGGUCUCUGGGCCGAUACUGACGCUGAGGAGCGAAAGCGUGGGGAGCGAACAGG
rnacentral:rRNA from 1 species